AUACUUUCAUAGUUUGCAAGCAUGAUGAUUGCGUUUUCACAUGGCCAUGUGAGAUGUGCCUCCUCAAACCUUGUUAUGACAUUGGCACAUUACCUGUCUGAUG
ensembl:snoRNA